rnacentral:rRNA from 1 species
GACGAACGCUGGCGGCGUGCUUAACACAUGCAAGUCGAACGGAAAGGCCCUGCUUUUGUGGGGUGCUCGAGUGGCGAACGGGUGAGUAACACGUGAGUAACCUGCUCUUGACUUUGGGAUAACUUCAGGAAACUGGGGCUAAUACCGGAUAGGAGCUCCUGCUGCAUGGUGGGGGUUGGAAAGUUUCGGCGGUUGGGGAUGGACUCGCGGCUUAUCAGCUUGUUGUUGGGGUAGUGGCUUACCAGGGCUUUGCCGGGUAGCCGGCCUGAGAGGGUGACCGGCUACAUGGGGCCUGGGAUGCGCCCCAUGCUCCAACGGGAGCCAGAGGGGAUGAUGAUGGCGCAAGGGGCGGAGGCCGGAGGCAGGAACGCCGAGUGGGGAAUAACGGCCUUCGGGUGGAAAACCGCUUAGGCCUGGGAGAAAGCGUAAUUGACGGUAAUGGGAAAAAAAGAACCGGCUAAUUAGGU